UACGUAGGGUGCAAGCGUUAAUCGGAAUUACUGGGCGUAAAGCGUGCGCAGGCGGUUAUGCAAGACAGAUGUGAAGUCCCCGGGCUCAACCUGGGAACUGCAUUUGUGACUGCAUGGCUAGAGUACGGUAGAGGGGGAUGGAAUUCCGCGUGUAGCAGUGAAAUGCGUAGAUAUGCGGAGGAAUACCAAUGGCGAAGGCAGCCCCCUGGGAUAAUAUUGACGCUCAUGCACGAAAGCGUGGGGAGCAAACAGG
rnacentral:rRNA from 1 species